GCAUAUCAAUAAGCGGAGGAAAAGAAACCAACAGGGAUUGCCCCAGUAACGGCGAGUGAAGCGGCAACAGCUCAAAUUUGAAAUCUGGCCCCUCCGGGGUCCGAGUUGUAAUUUGCAGAGGAUGCUUCUGGCGAGGUGCCUUCCGAGUUCCCUGGAACGGGACGCCAUAGAGGGUGAGAGCCCCGUACGGUAGGACGCCGAGCCUCUGUGAAGCUCCUUCGACGAGUCGAGUAGUUUGGGAAUGCUGCUCAAAAUGGGAGGUAAACCCCUUCUAAAGCUAAAUACUGGCCAGAGACCGAUAGCGCACAAGUAGAGUGAUCGAAAGAUGAAAAGCACUUUGAAAAGAGAGUUAAACAGCACGUGAAAUUGUUGAAAGGGAAGCGCUUGCGACCAGACUUGCGCCCGUCGAAUCAGCCGUCCCUCGCGGGCGGCGCACUUCGGCGGGCUCAGGCCAGCAUCGGUUUGCUGCAGGGGGAGAAAGGCGGCUGGAAUGUGGCUCUUCGGAGUGUUAUAGCCUACCGCACAAUACCCCUCGGCGGACCGAGGACCGCGCAUUUAUGCAAGGAUGCUGGCGUAAUGGUCGUCAGCGACCCGUCUUGAAACACGGACCAAGGAGUCGUCCUAAUAUGCGAGUGUACGGGUGUAAAACCCCUGCGCGUAAUGAAAGUGAACGGAGGUGAGAGCUUCGGCGCAUCAUCGACCGAUCCUGAUGUUCUCGGAUGGAUUUGAGUAAGAGCAUAUUGGGCCGGACCCGAAAGAAGGUGAACUAUGCCUGUAUAGGGUAAAGCCAGAGGAAACUCUGGUGGAGGCUCGCAGCGGUUCUGACGUGCAAAUCGAUCGUCAAAUAUGGGCAUGGGGGCGAAAGACUAAUCGAAC
rnacentral:rRNA from 1 species